GAUGAACGCUAGCGACAGGCUUAACACAUGCAAGUCGAGGGGCAGCGGGGGUAGCAAUACCCGCCGGCGACCGGCGCACGGGUGAGUAACGCGUAUGCAACUUACCUAUCAGAGGGGGAUAACCCGGCGAAAGUCGGACUAAUACCGCAUGAAGCAGGGGCCCCGCACGGGGAUAUUUGCUAAAGAUUCAUCGCUGCUAGAUAGGCAUGCGUUCCAUUAGGCAGUUGGCGGGGUAACGGCCCACCAAACCGACGAAGGAGAGGGGUUCCGAGAGGAACGCCCCCCACAUUGGUACGGAGACACGGACCAAACUCAUACGGGAGGCAGCAGGGAGGAAUAUUGGUCAAUGGGCGCGAGCCUGAACCAGCCAAGUCGCGUGAGGGAUGAAGGUUCUAUGGAUCGUAAACCUCUUUUAUAAGGGAAUAAAGUGCGGGACGUGUCCUGUGUUGUAUGUACCUUAUGAAUAAGGAUCGGCUAACUCCGUGCCAGCCGCCGCCGUAA
rnacentral:rRNA from 1 species